rnacentral:rRNA from 1 species
GGGGGCCCGCACAAGCGGCGGAGCAUGCGGAUUAAUUCGAUGUAACGCGAAGAACCUUACCAAGGCUUGACAUGAACCGGAAAUACCUGGAAACAGGUGCCCCGCUUGCGGUCGGUUUACAGGUGGUGCAUGGUUGUCGUCAGCUCGUGUCGUGAGAUGUUGGGUUAAGUCCCGCAACGAGCGCAACCCUCGUUCUAUGUUGCCAGCGCGUUAUGGCGGGGACUCAUAGGAGACUGCCGGGGUCAACUCGGAGGAAGGUGGGGACGACGUCAAAUCAUCAUGCCCCUUAUGUCUUGGGCUUCACGCAUGCUACAAUGGCCGGUACAAAGGGUUGCGAUACUGUGAGGUGGAGCUAAUCCCAAAAAGCCGGUCUCAGUUCGGAUUGGGGUCUGCAACUCGACCCCAUGAAGUCGGAGUCGCUAGUAAUCGCAGAUCAGCAACGCUGCGGUGAAUACGUUCCCGGGCCUUGUACACACCGCCCGUCAAGUCACGAAAGUUGGUAACACCCGAAGCCGGUGGCCUAACCCCUUGUGGGAGGGAGCUGUCNAANGUGGGACUGGCGAUUGGNACNANNUCGUANCAAGGUANCCGUANNGGC